AAGCUUUGCCUCCCGCUGGAAAAGGACCUGGGUCACAGUGUCUGAGUCUGUAUACGCUGCCACCAAAGGCUGACUUACACAAUUGUUCUGAUCGCAGUUUUGAACCUGAUGUCUGCGCCACCUUACCUGCCGCAUACUUUGAAGACUAGGGUUGCACCUUCUGCGAGGGCAGAGGAAUCCUGUCACUGACAGACCACCUUCGAAUCCCUCGCUUGGUGAAGUGUGACUUCUAAGUGCUAGACCAGCUUCUAAGAACAGCCUACUUUCUACUUGCAGCUGAAAACGAAGGUUGUGUGCUAUCGUGAAUCGGAUAUUAGUCGUUAACGAGACGCUCCUUGAUAGGAGGUGGCUGUCCUUGGCCAUGUGCUUCCUGAAGCCUUGAAGAAAAGCCACAGCAUUUCCUGCUGGUGCCGCUCCUGGGGUGGCAUCACCAGGCUUUGUUGCACCUCAUACUGGAUACGUGACCACGGUUGCCAGCUUCUCUCUCCGUGUCAUUAUCAUGGAACCUACAUGCUGUGACCACUGUGAUUUCUGACCGGCUAUCACUCAGCCUGCUCAGGCAUUGACUAUUUUUAGGCAGAAGGUCUAGUCCCCGCUUUUAUUCCCACAGCCGGCUUCUAUUUUAAUGCUCCAUUUGGCUCCAGGAACCAAACCAUAGCCGUGGAAUUCCCACAGGGCGUUAACAGAAAGCAAAACCUCCUCCCACUUUGGAAUUAAUGAACCCCUCUCGCUGUCAGCCAUGCUUUAAUGGAUUUCACCAGUCUCUGGAUUUCCACACCCAGAACAGAAAGUCAUACAAAGCAAACACCACCAUGAAAGGAUGAAGAGAUAGGAUAUGCAAAAGGAGGAGAUGUUGGCAGUGACGUGUUUCUAACUUGUUAACAAGACUGCAGUAUCUAUCAGCUUCGGGAGCAGGGCACGAGGUUGGGAGGAAGAAUGGUGGCAAGAUUCUGAAAGCUACUGGGCUAUUUGUUGAGAUAAAAAUGGGGAUGGGCAUCUCCAAACUUCCCUUUAUCCUUCCUUGGAUGAAGAAAAAUUAAAGUUAAUUUGUGUUCCUUAAAGAAACACAAUUGUUGGGGAAAUGUGGUCCCCUCACAAAGGAAAAGCCAUCUAAGCUAAUAGCAUCAAUUUUCAUCACAGUGAUUGGAUUCUUACCUAAGAAACGGCCCUCUGGGUUCCUUCAGGGAAGAAUGUUCUUUCAUAAAAAGACCCAGGAAAAGAACUUGCCAUGAAACCCCAGGAUUAUCAGCCACACCAUGUCACAGUGGCUUACUCUACUGACUUACCUCAUGCAAGUGUCACCUGCCACGGUGAGACCACAGAGGGAAGACUGGCAGGUGGAUCUGCACCCUACAGUGAUCCAUCCUUCAGAAGGAUGACUGUGGCUUCCUCCUCCAGUCAGGAAAUAGUGUGUGGUCUAUUGAUCACGCCUCUGCUGUUCAGGCUCAUGACUAGAGGCUGGGAAUGCCUGAAGUGAUACACAGACAUUCUAAACAUGAAAGCAGGCAUCACACCUGAGAAAAUGGCCUGAUACUUCUAAGGGAUCAGCAACACUGCUGGUUGCCUUGGUGAGAACAGUGAGGAAACAGGACAUCACCUCCUACACUGGAGUCCCUCCUGCCCCUGUGACUGUCCUAGUAACUAGCAAGAAGUAAAGUGUCGUAUAUAAAACAAGACAUGAAUUGUAGCAAGAUCAAACCCUCCGUGAUCGGGUUAUGGUUGCAUUUCACAAGAUUGCUUGACUUCAUUUCUAAUUUGUUGAAUUCCCAGCAUAUACUACUCUUAUAAUCAGAAAAUAACACAAAUAUGACUUCUAGAGUGAAAAAAAAUGUAGUUCCCACAUUAUCAUUUCAACACUAAUCAAGAACCAAAAAUAAAGGUGGCGCCGGGCAGCAGACCUUAAAUGAGAGGCUGUUUUCCCAAGCUCUGGUUAAGAUAGGAAUGUGAGAUACAGCUGAGGUGACAUGUGUGAAUCACCCAGCAUGUUCCCAACAACCACAGCUUUAAAGCAACAUCCCUCAUUCUCUCCCCUGCUUUGUGUAAUUCUACAUACAAAGCUGUCUUUCUGGCUUCUUCUCUAUCCCGUUAUCCCUAAUAGUUCCACAGAUUCUAUAUAAGGGCUAUUAAUACACUAAAAGGACAAAAUUGUUUACUUCAUC
rnacentral:lncRNA from 1 species